rnacentral:rRNA from 1 species
UACGAAGGGUUCGAGCGUUGUUCGGAAUAACUGGGCGUAAAGCGCAUGUAGGCGGCUCCUUAAGUCAGAGGAGAAAGCCCGGGGCUCACCCCCGGCAGUGCUUUUGAUACUGGAGAUCUGGAGCCUGGGAGAGGUGAGUGGAAUUCCUAGUGGAGCGGUGAAAUUCGUAGAUAUUCGGAGGAACACCGGUGGCGAAGGCGGCUCCCUGGACCGCGACUGACGCUGAGAUGCGAAAGCGUGGGGAGCAAACAGG